GUUGAACGCUGGCGGCAUGCCUUACACAUGCAAGUCGAACGGUAACGGGCCUUCGGGUGCCGACGAGUGGCGAACGGGUGAGUAAUACAUCGGAACGUGCCCGAUCGUGGGGGAUAACGAGGCGAAAGCUUUGCUAAUACCGCAUACGAUCUACGGAUGAAAGCAGGGGACCGCAAGGCCUUGCGCGGACGGAGCGGCCGAUGGCAGAUUAGGUAGUUGGUGGGAUAAAAGCUUACCAAGCCGACGAUCUGUAGCUGGUCUGAGAGGAUGAUCAGCCACACUGGGACUGAGACACGGCCCAGACUCCUACGGGAGGCAGCAGUGGGGAAUUUUGGACAAUGGGCGCAAGCCUGAUCCAGCCAUGCCGCGUGCAGGAUGAAGGCCUUCGGGUUGUAAACUGCUUUUGUACGGAACGAAAAGCCUUCUUUUAAUACAGGAGGGUCAUGACGAUACCGUAAGAAUAAGCACCGGCUAACUACGU
rnacentral:rRNA from 1 species